AGAGUUUUUGUUGCUGUUCUCUCUGUCUCUCUAUUUCUCUCUAUCUCCCUUCUCUCUCUCUCGCUCUAUCUCCCUCUUCGGUCUCUCUCUUUAUCUCUCUCUCAAGUCUCUAUUUCUCUCUCCAUCUCGUUUCUCUCUCGCUCUCUCUCGCUCCCCCCCCCCCUCCGAAUCUCUGUCAUGCUCAUCUCAUGACACCGUUCUCUCCCAUCUUAUUUUUUUUUUCUUCUCUCCAGUGUGGAGUGAUUGCUAUGGAAGAGGAGGACAACUGGUCAAACAUAGAGAGGAAGGAGGUCAAGAAAAGAAGAGAAGGAAGAGAAAAAAUAGACAAGAAAGAUUCCUUCUCUCCCCUAUCCUUCUCUCACCGUUUUCUACCAUCCUUACCUCAAAAAUAACGGAGGGAAAGUAACUUCAAAAGACAGUCAGGAGGGACCUGGGGUGUGAAAUCUGAGAAGAGAAGCGAGAUGAGAGAGGGAGACCUGCUCCUGUGUGUGCUAUGCCGUCCAGGAGCUGCCGGGUUAAAUCUGCUGCCACCAGACUGACACACAGACAGAUGCCCUGACCAGUCGCACUCACCUGCUGUAAACUAUGUUAUCAUGAGGGUUGCUGCUGUUGAAGUCUGAUUAAAGAAGUAUACAGAAGCGUAUAAGACCAGGUCAUGACAUGUCAAGAACUGGCAGCUGAGUAUGAAAAGGCUAUGUAGAUCCUCCUGAUCCCCCUCCAGCCUCUCAGCCAUGUAAUGAACAACUUCAAAUGGUCCCUUCUCAGAAAUACACCCACAGACACACACACACACACACACACCCACAGACACACACACACACACACACACACACACACACACACACGUUCUUAACAAAAAGGGAAUUUUCCCCAGGACAUACACUUUCCAUGAAUGUGUUGCUGUUUUUUUUUGUGUUUUUUUUGACAAGUACAGAUACUCAUCUGUAACACACACACACACACACACACAUAAAUAGUGCCUAUCUUUACACAUCACGUCUUCGCACCGUGGCUCCAUUGCCAAGUUGUUAAAGGGAUAUUUCACUCACUGAGAACGUCAUGAGUGCGUGUGGCAGAGAAAAUAAAACAGGCUUUUGUAGAGUACAAGUUUGACUUCACAUGCGUGUUGUUCUAUACAAGAUGCUCUAUUUCACUAAAACUACAUUCUGCAAAAAGCAUUUUGAUUUAUCGUUUUAAAACUUAAAAUAACUGCAAGAAAAACAGGCA